GACGAACGCUGGCGGCGUGCUUAACACAUGCAAGUCGAGCGGAGCGGCGAACGGGUGAGUAACGCGUGAGUAACUGCCCCCCUCUCUGGGAUAACAGUUGGAAACGGCUGCUAAUACCGGACAGUGGGGGAUGACUCCCGUCCUAUUAACUUGUUGGUGGGGUAGAGGCCUACCAAGGCGACGACGGAUAGCCGGCCUGAGAGGGCGACCGGCCACAUUGGGCUGAGAUACGGCCCAAACGCCUACGGGAGGCAGCAGUGGGGAUUAUGGCGCAAUAGCGGAAGCCCUGAUGCAGCAACGCCGAGUGCGGGAUGACGGCCUUCGGGUUGUAAGCCGCUUUAAGGCAUCACGCUGUAGUGGCAGAAGAAGCACCGGCUCACUACGUGCCAGCAGCCACGGUAAUUC
rnacentral:rRNA from 1 species